GACGAACGCGGCGGCGUGCUAAUACAUGCAAGUAGAACGCUGAAGAGAGGAGCUUGCUCUUCUGGAUGAGUUGCGAACGGGUGAGUAACGCGUAGGUAACCUGCCUUGUAGCGGGGGAUAACUAUUGGAAACGAUAGCUAAUACCGCAUAACAAUGGAUGACACAUGUCAUUUAUUUGAAAGGGGCAAUUGCUCCACUACAAGAUGGACCUGCGUUGUAUUAGCUAGUAGGUGAGGUAACGGCUCACCUAGGCGACGAUACAUAGCCGACCUGAGAGGGUGAUCGGCCACACUGGGACUGAGACACGGCCCAGACUCCUACGGGAGGCAGCAGUAGGGAAUCUUCGGCAAUGGGGGCAACCCUGACCGAGCAACGCCGCGUGAGUGAAGAAGGUUUUCGGAUCGUAAAGCUCUGUUGUAAGUCAAGAACGAGUGUGAGAGUGGAAAGUUCACACUGUGACGGUAGCUUACCAGAAAGGGACGGCUAACUACGUGCCAGCAGCCGCGGUAAUACGUAGGUCCCGAGCGUUGUCCGGAUUUAUUGGGCGUAAAGCGAGCGCAGGCGGUUUGAUAAGUCUGAAGUUAAAGGCUGUGGCUCAACCAUAGUUCGCUUUGGAAACUGUCAAACUUGAGUGCAGAAGGGGAGAGUGGAAUUCCAUGUGUAGCGGUGAAAUGCGUAGAUAUAUGGAGGAACACCGGUGGCGAAAGCGGCUCUCUGGUCUGUAACUGACGCUGAGGCUCGAAAGCGUGGGGAGCGAACAGG
rnacentral:rRNA from 1 species